rnacentral:rRNA from 1 species
UACGAAGGGGGCUAGCGUUGCUCGGAAUCACUGGGCGUAAAGGGUGCGUAGGCGGCUUGUCGCGUCGACUGUGAAAUCCCGCGGCUCAACCCGGGAACUGCGUCCGAUACUGGCAGGCUUGAAUUCGGGAGAGGGAUGCGGAAUUCCAGGUGUAGCGGUGAAAUGCGUAGAUAUCUGGAGGAACACCGGUGGCGAAGGCGGCAUCCUG